rnacentral:rRNA from 1 species
AAUUGACGGGGCCCGCACAAGCGGUGGAGCAUGUGGUUUAAUCGACGCAACGCGAAAGAACCUUACCAGGUCUUGACAUCCCGAUGCUAUUUCUAGAGAUAGAAAGUUACUUCGGUACAUCGGUGACAGGUGGUGCAUGGUUGUCGUCAGCUCGUGUCGUGAGAUGUUGGGUUAAGUCCCGCAACGAGCGCAACCCCUAUUGUUAGUUGCCAUCAUUCAGUUGGGCACUCUAGCGAGACUGCCGGUAAUAAACCGGAGGAAGGUGGGAUGACGUCAAAUCAUCAUGCCCCUUAUGACCUGGGCUACACACGUGCUACAAUGGUUGGUACAACGAGUUGCGAGUCGGUGACGGCGAGCUAAUCUCUUAAAGCCAAUCUCAGUUCGGAUUGUAGGCUGCAACUCGCCUACAUGAAGUCGGAAUCGCUAGUAAUCGCGGAUCAGCACGCCGCGGUCGAAUACGUUCCCGGGCCUU